GCGACAGACUUCUCUGGGAGUGUAGCUAUUACAGCUGUUAUCAUCUCCCUGUUACGGAUGAGCAAGCAGCCUCCAAGAGCUGGAGUGGUUCGACCUUCAGUGCCUUCUUGCCUCCACCCCAGGCCAGCAUGGCAUCCACAGCCCCAGCAGCUUCUCAAACCAGAGGAUGCAGUUGCUAGUGAAAACAAAGAAGAUGGCAAGCCCCUGAGGUGUUCUAGAAAAUGGAUGUAUGCUGUGAGACCUGUUUCUGAGGAUACCUUGUGGAUUCUGAACAAUGAAAGGAUCUGCUCAGAUGCCCUGAUUUCCACCCACACCAGCUCUGACUCUGCUGGAGAUGUUCUUUCUCCCUCUGAUUCCAGGUGCUGCCGCAUCCACUUUCUGCCCCAUCUGUCAGCUUUGCCCCAACCCUGAGCACAAAGGCAUGGAGCAUGAAGCCCAUCUCCCCUUCACUGGGCAGUGUUCUCUUUGGUAUGAAGAUCAGCCCAUUGGAUGUCCUGGCCUCCUUUUAAUACAUAACUCUGCUCACCC